rnacentral:rRNA from 1 species
AUGGCACCCCCCAAACCCCACCAUUGCAAAUUUGCAAUUGCAACGGCAUACCCCACCCAUCUCCACCUCCGGUGCCAUGUCCAUGUGGCCCGCCCUCGGAAACCACCAAACGCGCGCCCCCACGCGGCGACGCCACCACCCUCCGAGAGAAGAGAAUCCAAACCUCUUUCUCUCUCUUACCUAAGCCGCGCGCGGGUCCUCCCCGAUUUUCUCUCCCUCUCUCUAAAUACAGCGGCGGCGUCGCGCGCCCGAGCCCGCCAAAUCCCCCGCCCCCUCGCGCCCUUUUUCCCGCUCCCCAUUAUUCCCGCGAUUCCCCUCCCAGCCAGCUGCCCACCGGAAGCAGAGGAAGCAGAGGAGAGGCCGGGGCCGGCGCCAUGGGGAAGUACAUGCGCAAGAGCAAGGCCUCGGGGGAGGUGGCCGUCAUGGAGGUCGCCGGCGCGCUGCUCGGCGUCCGCACCCGCUCCCGCACCCUCGCCGCGCAGCAGCAGCGCGCCCCCUCCCCGUCCCCCUCGCCGCAGCGCAAGGGGCAGGAGGACGGCGACCCCGGGGCUGGCGACUACCUCGAGCUCAGGAGCAGGCGGCUCGAGAAGCAGCCGCCGCCGGGGGCCAGGGAGAAGGAGGACGCGCCGCAGCGGCCGCGAGGAGGGCCGCCGCCGCUGGCGGGAGGAGGAUGGAGCAGGCGCCGUCGUUCGCCGCCGAGGGGUUCGAGGCCGACCUCGAGGUCUCCUUCGGCGACAACGUGCUGGACUGGGACGCCACCGACAGGGGCACCAGGGAGACGACGCCGUGCAGCCUGAUCUACAGCUCGGAGACGAUGAGCACCCCGGGGUCGGCGACGGGAGCCCGCAACCAUUCCCGGCGCAGGGCGCAGACGCCGGUGUGCCGCUACGUCCCGAGCUCGCUCGAGAUGGACGAGUUCUUCGCCGCCGCGGAGCAGCAGCAGCACCAGAGCUUCAGGGACAAGUACAACUUCUGCCCGGCGAGCGAGCGCCCGCUCCCGGGGCGGUACGAGUGGACGGUGCUAGACUGCUAGGGCUUCCUCAUACCUCACACCACCACCACCACCACCAGGAGCUCCUCCAUUGA